rnacentral:miRNA from 1 species
AUGCGGUGCGGUGGUAGCAACCG